AACGGUAAUGUAUUUUAAUGGGACCUCUCUAGCUACGCGUGUAAAAAGUUAAAUUAUUAAAAUUUUCUGUUUAAAGUGGACAUAAAAAAGGGAUUUUGGUUUAGAAUUAUGGAGAAAAGUAAGGAAAAUCGUGCAAGAGUGCAAAUCAAGCAUAUCUACUUCCAAUUCAACUUGAUUAAAAAAUUUCAGCGGAUUCCAUAAAAAUUCUCGGAAUAGUUCGUAUCGGAAGUUAUUUUACAUGCCAACAAGAAGGAUCGAUUAAAUGAGAAAUGCAAGUAAAUAUGGAUUAAAAUGAUCAAGAAAUUGAAUAUGAUAUAUUCAAUUAAAAAACGUAAAUGAUCAAAGCUUUUACAUGGAAAUCAGUCGCCUAUAAAUAUAGAUGAGCAAAAUUAAGUCAGAUUAAAUUAAGAGAUGUUCUCGCUCAUACAUACAAACACGUUUACCAUCAUACAAUACAUAAAUUUUCGGAUCCGUGACAAAAAGCCGAAAGUCACUCUUGGAUUAGCGUGUCUUUUUACGGAACGCGACUCUUAUUGGACGGGCGGUUUUUUCGUUUGGGCUUUUUGUCACGGAUCCAAAUUUUCUAAAUUAUGAGGGAGAGAAUUCGUAGAAAAUAUUAAAUACUUAUUUUGUAUCGUCGUAAUACCGAAAUGUUGUUGCUACUCUAUACAUUCUUGGUGAAAAGCGAGACUUAA